UUCAUCGAGAAUUUUGAAUCGCAUCUCUUCAGGUACAGUCUGAAACCCUCACUACGAGGAGAUUCUGGCUCCCAUUAUCUUCAACUAUAUUUUUAUUCGUAGCCUCUUCAUUGACAUUCUGGAUCCUCUUCAUGGAGAGUCUGGUGAUGGAGUUCAAUGACGUUCUUCCCACUGGGGAGGGGAUUUUGGGGAUAUAAGGAGAAAAAUGAAAGGACUCUAUCGGAGGUUAUCUACUGCUCAUUCAUUUUCUUCCAAAAAAUUUCCCCCAUCAUUUGGAGAAUCUUUUUUUCUUUAAUCAUUCUAUGUAGCAUUUAUGAACAUAAAUUGGAGAAGAAGAAUAUGGUCGAUACACAAUUUAAACCUGCUAAAGCCUGGCAUUGUUUUACAAAUUGGGAUGAACCUGUUUGCAAGAUUUCAAAUCUUCCUGGCAAAGAGUUCACAUGAUGAGAUCCUGGUGUUGGAGUUCGAUGACAUUGUUCCUGUUGGGGAGUGGAUUUACUGAUUGGAUUCUAUAGAACCAUUAUGGACAAUAUGAAAGGACUAAAAAGAGCAACAUGGAAAUGAUUCUGCAACAAAAUGAUAAAUCUUCUAGAUUUUCAUGUUUAUUUCGAAGGAGGCUAUUUGUUGGAUCAUAGCAGCAAUAUUUUCUUGAGAGGUUGGAAUUUUUGGAAGCCAUACAGAUGACAAGAGGAGGGAAAGAUAGAACAGAAGAAGCCAAAUGUUGAACAAGUCGCCAAUAUUUCUGAUGCCAGAACUUGGCACUUUAGCAAUUAUAGUUUUAAUCCCCAAAUCAACUAUUCACAGAGAAAGCCUAAAGCACAAGUGGGAGAUGGUCCAGAUCAAUAAAUGCUCCGCACUUCAAGUUACAGAAACCGAUACCAAAAGAGGACUCAAGAAAUUAGUCCUUUUUAGAGUUUAUUGCCACUUUGGCCUAUUUGGGUCUUGGAUUGGAUUAUGGGUAUCCCUUGUUUUUUUCUUUCUCCAGAACACACAUUGAUACCUGUUCAAUGUUGGAUUGGAUUCGACUUUUUAUGUCUUCUUUUCCUCCAUUAAUAGUUGUAACACAACUACCCAUAUAUGGUAAUUCAGUUGUUUAUUUUA